UACGUAGGGACCAAGCGUUGUCCGGAAUCAUUGGGCGUAAAGAGCGCGUAGGCGGCUUGUUAAGUCUUGCGUGAAAUCUCGGGGCUCAACCCCGAGCGGUCGUGAGAAACUGGCAGGCUAGAGUGCGGGAGAGGAGAGUGGAAUUCCUGGUGUAGCGGUGAAAUGCGCAGAUAUCAGGAAGAACACCCGUGGCUAAGGCGGCUCUCUAGUACGGUACUGACGCUGAGACGCGAAAGCGUGGGGAGCGAACAGG
rnacentral:rRNA from 1 species